GCGAACGCUGGCGGCAGGCCUAACACCUGCCAGUCGCACGGAUCCUUCGGGAUUAGUGGCGGACGGGUGAGUAACACGUGGGAACGUGCCCUUUGGUUCGGAACAACUCAGGGAAACUUGAGCUGAUACCGGAUGUGCCCUUCGGGGGAAAGAUUUAUCGCCAUUGGAGCGGCCCGCGUCUGAUUAGCUAGUUGGUGAGGUAACGGCCCACCAAGGCGACGAUCAGUAGCUGGUCUGAGAGGAUGAUCAGCCACACUGGGACUGAGACACGGCCCAGACUCCUACGGGAGGCAGCAGUGGGGAAUCUUGCGCAAUGGGCGAAAGCCUGACGCAGCCAUGCCGCGUGAAUGAUGAAGGUCUUAGGAUUGUAAAAUUCUUUCAGCGGGGACGAUAAUGACGGUACCCGCAGAAGAAGCUCCGGCUAACUUCGUG
rnacentral:rRNA from 1 species